CCUGUUACUGUAAAUGUAAAAUAAAUUUGUUGUGCUUUUUUACAGAAUCCAUUAUACAAUAAAAAUAGGCAUAUAAACAUUUCAUUCAAUUAAAUAUGAUUCUAAUGUUUGUCUACAAGUUUUACUAAGAAUGCAAUAAUUGUUAAUCAUCGCAUUUGAUUUAUUUUUCAUCUGUUAUUUUAGUGCUAUAAAUAUUUACAAAGGGUGUCAUUUUCUUUUGUUCACUCAGAUUCACAUCACUAUACUAUUACUAUCAAAUUGAGGCUAUUAACUUUAUGUUAUUGUGAAGCACUAAUAAACCCUAGUGGUUGGCACAGGUUUUCUCAGCCUUAGCUUUCUUAUGUUCAAGGUUUCCAUAAAGCUAUACUUGCUAAUGUGUCAUCAAAGUCCCACAAGACCUUUAAUAAUUUCUCACGUCAUCAUUCUAUAUGUUGUCUUGGCACUUUGAGUAAUAUUCUACAGUUACAUUGGAAUAUUCUCUUUAGUUCUUGUUUGCCUGAUGUUUUUCUACUGAGAUGGUUGUGAAUUUUGUUUUUGACAACAACAGCAUAAAAGCUUUGUGCACUAUUUAGCUCAGCACGUCAGUGAUAUAGAGCUUCAGUGUUUUAUUCCUGGAUAUAACAUUGAACAAUUUAAGUUGGUGUCUGCCAAUUCCCUCCAAUAGAAAAUAACAUUUUUAAUGUUUAUUGUACAGCCUAUAAUGAAUCAAAAUGGUAGGUGGGUGAGACAAUGUAAAUAUUUUGUGUAGCCUCAUACUUUCACUAUCUAUAUUUUCAUUAAUUAAAAUUGAGAAUCUUGUUUAGAAAGGGCAUUUUUUGCUAUUUAUCAUACCCUUAAUAAUUGGAGAAUCUUAAUGAACAAUUUCUCUUCAUUUUACAUUUUUUCUCUUCAAUUAAUAAUUUUUCCCGUUUUUUCGAAACAGGGUUUCUCUGUGUAGCUUUGGAGCCUAUCGUGGCACUCACUCUGGAGACCAGGCUGGCCUGGAACUCACAGAGAUCCACCUGCCUCUGCCUCCUGAGUGCUGGGAUUAAAGGCUUGCACCACCAACACUCGGCUUCAAUUAAUAUUUUUAAUCAGUAUAAAUUUAUAGAUAUUUGUUUUCCUCUAGGAAGUUUAAUUUAAACUCUAUUUUUUGCCAAAUUAUUCCAUUUUUACCAUGUGGAAUUACAUAUGUAUCCAACUAUACUAUGGUUAUAUAUUUAUAUUCAUCCACCCAUAUAUAUAUAUAUUUAUAUUAUAUAUUAAAUAUAUUAAAUAUUAUAUAUUUAUAUACAUGUUUUGUAUAAACAAAACAACAUAUUUGUUUCUCAUUGUUACUAUACACAAAAUUAAUCUCUGAAUUGCCACUCAAUACCUCUAAGAGAAACAAUUUAACUUAAGGACUGAGUUAGUGAAGCUCAUUUUGUCUUCAUCCUUAUAGAGUUGAGUCAUCAGAUUUUCUAUGUUGCUUAAGGUGCUUCAUUCCUCUUUGGUCCACUCCAAUGUGGAGUGCUGUGGUUGGCAUGAGAUUUAGCUGUUCCAGGUUAAAUGCUAUUUUGAAUUUCCAUAUGGAUUAUAAUUAUUAAUAUGUUUCAAUGUAAAUGAAAUAUUAAAGGAUUCCAAGAACUGAGGCUAUGCCAAAAUUUGCUUAAAUAACAUCAUAUCCUAGUUUUUUCCACCUAUUUUAUUUUCCUCUUUAUCUACUAUUUCCUGCUAAUUUUCUUGACGUACCCCAAAUCAUUAAUAUCUGGGUUAUCACUGUUGAUAGUUUUCCCAUUGCUACUUUAUGAAUAUUUAUUGCCCAUUGACUGAAGUCUUUCCAUUCUGCCCUCCCUCUCUUCUGUUCAAAAAUUUUGAAUUCUCCAUGAGAUUUAUUUAUAUUUUUAAGUUUUAUGUUCCACAUAUACAUCAAGAAAUAUUUCUAUUUCUAAAUACAUUUCUGUGUCUGGCUCAUUUCACUAGACUACAUCUCAAGUUCCACUCUGUUAUUACAAAUGAGAUUAUUCCAUUUUUACAUCUUAUCAGUAGAUGGGCACCUAGUUGUUUCUGAUGUUUAGCUGUUACAAUGACUGCAGAUGGUAUUCUUUUUUGGAUUUCUGUAAUUCAUUUAUUUGGAGAUUUCUAUUAUCAACUGAGUUUGAUUGAUGGUUCCAUGACAAAUAGCUGUGUGCUCAGCACACACCAGCUCUCUGCAAGCUCACUCAACCAUAAGCAAAGUGUGACAUAAUUUCUGGGUCUUUCUUCAGAGUUUGUAUCUGCUAUGUAGGUACCAACUGAUGGCAAUCCCUUAAAUGAAUGAGGUAAAAUGAAAUUCCUACCUUAGUUCCUUAGGAUACACAUUUGUAUAUACAAUUAAAUAUGCAUCUAUAUCCACUCUAUUGGUAUAUGACCCUGAAGAACUUGCAAAAAUCUCUUUUGAAAUUCUGUGGCAUUUUACUCUAAAAUGCCACUCCCUUUUGUGACUACAGAUGGUACUCUUACAGUCAAUUUAUUUCCUUUUGAUAAAUGCCCAUUGGUUGAACCAUUAGCUCUUAUCAUCUUGCUUUCAAUUUUUUAUGUACUUUCAGAAUGUUAUGUAUAAUAGCUAUAUAGUGAAUAUAAGAUUUCUAUUUUGGCCAACAGUGUCCUGUUGUUACCUUUUCUCCAUAUGUUCUCUAGUACAUGUUUUUGUAUUUUUCUUUUAUUUAUUUCUUUGUAUGUCUGAGACACCCUAGGUUAUUCCAGGGUUAAGUAUGCAACUUUAAGCCAGCCUUAUCUCCAAUUAGCCUUCUUCAGAUUCAUGAGUGCUGCUAAAAUAAGUGGGCACCACCAUGACAAAAUAUAUGAAAAUGUUAUAAAGCUUUAAAAAUUGUCUAAAGGGAAGAGAUAUCUUACUGUGUAAAAUGAUAUUGAACAUUUUUCCAGAUAACAUCAACAAUUUCUAUAUAAUCUUUUGAGAAAAGUCUAUUUGUGUUAUCUGCACAUUUUAAUUAAGCUAAUAAAUUUAGCAGUUCAGCUUUUGGUUUAUUUAGAGAUUUAUCCUUUUUCAGUGUUUGAAAAAAUUAUAUAUUUGGUUGUUAAACCUUUAUUUAUAGUUGAAUAUAUUUUCCUUCAUUUCAAUCUGUUGACUUUUAACUUUGGCAAUAAUUUCCUUAAUGUUAAAAAUAUAUUUAAUUUGAUGCAUACCUACUGGUUAUCUUUGCUUUUGUUUCUUAUAUUUCGUGACCUAAUCUAAAAUAUUCUUGCCCAUUCCAGUCUCUUGACAUGUUUCCUUACUGUGGUUUUAAUAACAUAAGAAAACUAUGUUUUAGUUAUUGCAGAAAAAGUAAAACUAAAAAUUUUAGGUGUCAAAUACCCCGUUUUUGUCUCAUUUUCAGUUUCCCACACAAUCUUUUGAUUUGUCAUUCAGCUUCAUAAGCUGGGUGCUUUUACACUCCAUUUUUCACAAUUGUAUUAUUCACCAAACCUAAUUUUCAGGUAAGUUUGUUUAGCCAGGACUCAUAUUGGAGACAAACAUAGCAUCCGAUGCUCACAUGAUUCCAACUAUGAAAUUCAAAUAGCCCAUGGCCAUUGCAAAUCAUCAGCUACUUUUAACUAAAAGUAAAAAGCACAUACACUUUCUUUAAUCCUUCAAGUUACUUUGGUUCUAUAUGCUGACUUCUCUCUGGUCUCCCCUAACAAUUACUAUAUUGAUUUUUAUAUCUCAUGGGUAUUAAAAGUUGAUCAAAUUGUGACUGUAUAUUUUUAGAUUUCAAUCAUAUAUAUUCCUGAGCUUUUAGGAUUUUUCUUUCAUUUUUAGAUUAUAUGCUUCUGAAAUCAUGUAUACUUUUUAUUGGGGAUACUUAGGAAACCUGUGGUUUUUCAAAAAAUUUGUUAUGGAAUUCUAUUCUAUGUUUCUGUUUUGUUAAAUCAGUUCAUCUGAUACUCUAAAUUAUUAAAUUUUACACACAACUGAAUUAUUUUAUAUAUUAAAUGAACUUUUAGGUUGGUAUACACAAUUUAAACUAUACUUUUGUAUGAAGCUAUGAUUGGUGGUGUACAACUUUAAUCCUAGUACACAGGAAGUGGAUGCUGGUGGACCUAUGUAAGUACAAAGCCAAUCUUGUCUACAAACGAGUACCAGGCUAGCCAGAACUGAAUGGCAAGUGUUGUGCACAAAUUCUGAACCCUCAAAUCACUAAGGGACCCAUUCCGAUGUAAAGGUAAAAUGUCUUAUUAUUAAUGUGUUAACCCUCUUUGACUUGGGCCCUUUGUCUAAUCAUCACAGCAGAUGGUGUGAGAAGGACACAAAGGGGCUGUAUGGUGGGGAAUUUAUUUUGUAGAGCAAGGAGACUCUCUCUAGGGGUAUGCAACAGCCUCAGUGUGCUUCCCAGCUUGGACAACCUGUCCUUUGUUGAUGGGUCCACUGGUUGUUAUGGCCUAUAAGCCUUCACAGGAUGGUUGCUAUGCUCUGCACAUCACUAUUAAGCCACUUUUACCAUAAAGCAACACGCCCAAAGCCAGACAGCUAUCUUCUGAUUGGCUCCUUGCCACAUGGAGGGUAUCUGACUUCCUAGUGACUGGGACGAGGGGAAAGGUCAGGUAAGCAUACAUUGAUGAGUCUUUUCUGCAGCCUUUAGUGGAUGCUAAAGCAAGAGGGUAAGGUUCUGAUCUAUUCAAUUAGAUUGUGUUUCAAAAUAAGAAAGCAUUAAUGAGAAUAUCACUUAACACUCAUGUCACACUUAUAAUAGUUUCUUUCUACCCUAAGUGAUUCUAGCUUGAAGAAAUGCCUUGGUAAGGGAAAGGUGGUUGUUGUUAUCCAUCCUAUAUCUCCUAAAGUUGUAGAACUAUACUCAUGGAGACAGAGACAUGAACAUAUGUCUUUUCUGUCUAUUUAUCCCAGAUAUGGUAACUAAGACAGACAGACCAAGGUAAUGUUUUCACCCAUCUGUAUUUUCCCUGAAGCACUGAGGUUUUUUUUUUUUGGGUUUCUAACACAAAUAUGUAUAAGGGUUCACAUACAUAAAUGACUUCAAGAUAGCUGAAUCACCAAAAAGAUCAUUCCGUCAUUGAAAUUGAUUUAUGAAAGUUGCAGCCUUGGAGCUACUGGUCAGCUUGUAUAUAGCUGGCAGGUUCAGAAGAGCAUCACUCCUCCCCAGAUUGGUUUCUGACUUUAUAUCCUCAGAGUCCCAUGAAUCUUGUUUUUAAAAGAACACUGAGACUUGUAAGUUAUUUAUUUCCUCUGUUAUUUAAGUUUUGUUUACUUCCAGAGUCUUAAGGGGUUUUCUUUUUCUAGAAUUUCAUGUUUCAAUUCAGAGGAAAUUGCCACAUAACACAUAUUGACAAAAUUACCAAAAUUGGGAGAUGUAACUCAGCUUCCUUAAAGUCAUCUAUCAUAAAUAGAAAAAAUAGAAUAUGAGUCUCAAAGUUGUACUUUCUGUCCUCCUAUUCUUUUAAUUUCAAAUUGCAUUCUUCCAUUUCAAGGACUAAGAAACACAACAAUGAAUUUUAUUGUGAGCCUAGCUUUAAUGACUGAGCCCUUCUCAAACCCAGAGAAAGGAAAAGGGAAAAAAUCUCCUGAGAAAUUUGGAAGCAUGGGGAGUAGGGGAGGGAGGUAGGAGAAAAAGGAGGGGAGAAAAGUAAAGGGGGGAGAACUUGAGGGAUCAGUAAGGUACUUGAGUAGGGGGAAGCAAAGAGAAGGACAGCAAAGAAAAAGAUACCUUAAUAAUGUGAGCCAUUUUGGGCUUAUGAGAAAUCUGGUACCUGGGAAUUCUCCUGUGAUCCACAAGGAUGACCCCAACUAAGAAUCUAAGCAAUAGUGGAAAGGCUACCUUAAAUGCCCUUCCUCUAUAAUGAGAAUAAUGACUGCCAUAAAUGCCAUCAUAGAACUUUCUAGUAGCUGAUGGAAGCAGAAAUAAAAGUUCACUGCUAAUCACUGAGCUGAACUCCUGGAAUCCAUGUGUGGAGAGCGAGGUGUGAUGAGCAAAGGGGUCAAGACCAGGGUGGAGACACCCACAGAAACAGCUCACCUGACCAAGUUGGAUCUCACAGAUCCCAGAACGACAUCUGGGGAACCAGCAUAAGACCACACUAGGUCCACUAAAUAGACUUCAUCCAGUAGCUGAUGGAAGCAGAAGCAGACACCCAAAGCUAAAGAUUGAGCUGAAAUCUGGAAUCCAGUUGCUGAGAGGGAGGAAUGAUGGCCAAAUGGGUAAAGACCAGGCUGGAGAAACCCACAGAAACAGCUGACCUGAACAAGGAGGGGGCUGUUGGCCUCCAAGACUGAUCACUAGGAAACCAGCAUGGAACUGAUCCAGACCCCAUGAAUGUGGGUGUCAGUGUGGAGGCCUUGAAAAUCGAUGGGACCUCUGGUAGUGGAUAAGUGUUUAUCCCCAGUACACGAAUGGACUUUGGGAGCCCACUCCACAUAGAGGGAUAUUCUCUCAGCCUAGACACACAGAAGAGGGUCUAGGCCUUGCUCCAAAUGAUAUGACAGAAGUUAAAGAUCCCCUAUAGAAGGACUCUCCCUCCCUGGGGAGCAGAAAUGGGAUGGAAUAGGGGGUUCAGUGAGGGAGAGGGGAGGAGAUGAGGGAGAGGAAACUGGGACUACCAUCUAAAAGAAACUUGUUUCUAAUUGAAAACUGCUCUAACUACAAUUAUAAAAAUAAAAAUAAAUAAAAACUUAAAAAAAUAACCCAAGUAUUUCCAUCUGCAGUGGACAAUAUUUCAAAAACACAAAAGUAUGAUAGUUAUAAUUCUGACAUUCUUUUGGAAGAUACAAUAAAUCAAAAUUAUAGAUGCAUAGUUAAUACGGAGAAGCUGGAGACAUGCUCCUGGUAGGAAAAAGAUGAGAAUUCAAGUCUUUAAU
ensembl:lncRNA